rnacentral:lncRNA from 1 species
GUUUUACUCUCUUGUCCUCCCUUCACUCUUUUCUGUGUGUUUAUGUUGCUCUGCAGUGUCUUCUCCUUGAGAUUCUGUUGAUGGUGGUUCCUGGUUAUUUAUUUUAUGUUCUUGUCAACAGAGAUAGUGUGGACUACAAAGGGACGGGCGCGACCUCCAAGAUUCUACCACACUGGCUGUUUCAAGGCUUAUACUACCCUUCCCAAGAGGCAGCAGGAAGGAAGCUUGAGAGGCCCCAUUCCUUGAUGGAGACAGCAUGGUUCUGGGGAGCUCCUGAAACACAGUGAGAAGGUGCUGCCAUGGCAUAGGACAGACAUCCCGCUGCUUGAGCCAAGAAGCACCUGCAGUGCACUUGACCCCAUCACACUUGCGGACUGAAGUUCUCACUGAAUUGGACUGUUUUUCCUUUGCUGUCAUUUGCAUAACACUCAGCUCUCUGUGACUUUGACUGGUUUGCUUUUUUUUCCACCUGUCCUUUUAUUUUCUUGGUCUGGGAAUUAUAAAAAAAGAAUUUCUUUAUCUGCUAUAAUUCUGUGAUAAACUUAGCCUUGUUGAGGCUCCUAGGGAAUUUCUGAAUUGCAGUUUCACAUCAAUUAGUAAGUGGGGCUAUACAGUUUGAUUUGUAUCUUGCCCAUUUUUAGAUUAAAAAUAUAUUUUCUUUUUUGCAAAAUUUGAACUCAGGUAAUGACCUGAGUCACAGUUACUUAGCUACUGAAAAGAUCUCAAUGUGACAGUGGCUGGAGUUAAAAUAUAAUCAAACAUACAUUAUACCUGGGGCUUUUACACAUUAUCUGGCAUAAAUGUUUCAGUACAAAGGAACAUAAACCUUAUGAGUUGAAAUGUAAUCCUCUCUGAUCCUGAAGCUAAAAUAGCAAAAGUCUAUGAAUGUCAAAAGUAGCCUUAAGUACCACAAAUCUGAGCCAAUCAACACUGGAAGAUUGCAAAGAUUCAAAAACCCGUUGUCUAAGAUAAAGCAGGAACAGAGGAGCAGCUGACCUCAUCCACAAUGUUGCUCAAGUGUCUCUGUAGCUUUCCCUACUUUGGGGGUGGUAAAGAACGUGGCCCAUUUCUGUGAUUAGGUUUACCGAAACUGUAGUAUUUCUGCCUGUCCUGUAACCAUGCCUACCUCCCAAUAAAAAUGUUUUCAGUUGACUCAGCAA